AAAUACAUAAAUAACUAACUAAGAAUUUAGAAAGAAACUUGAGUCUCCGUAGACUCUUUGAAGAAAAGUUGCACACCACACAACAAGAGAAGGAAGAACUCCUCCUCUGAAAACCAAAAACUACCUCUAUCCUCCAACGGAGCUUAUUUGGAGAGAAAACUCAAAACUAGUCUAAUAGCUCCCUUUCACGUCUCAUGUCUUCAUACAUAAAAACCAGUCAAAUGGAGACAUCACCCCACGUCCACCAAAGAGGUCAUCAUUUCUCUACAUAAUCAAUUUCACUCCACUCAAAACAAAAGCAAUUGUCGGUUUUCUUUUUGACCAAGAGCACACGUUCACGAACAAGAAAGCAAAACCACAAAUGUGCAAAGAAAGCAAACUUUAGACAAUACAACUUAUUUGCGGUCCCCACCAACUUUGAUAUGUUGUCUAGCCAAAUUGAAUUCCCAAAUGCAAUUCUAUUCUUAUUCGUUGGUUUGCACCGGAAUUGUGUAAAGCUUCACAAUAAUCUUCUCACAAGGUUUCUGCUUCACUUUCUGAAAUUAUAUCCAAAUACCAAAUAUAAAUAUAUAUUGACAAUUAAAGCAAAUUAAAGCAAUAUUUGGCAAGGAUAAAAAGGAAAAUUAACAAUAAAAUUACUAACAAUUAACACCCUAUCAAUUCCCCCCACACUUAAAUCAUGCUUGUCCUCAAGCAUGAGAACAACUAAACUCAACAAUGGUCAACCCUCAUAUCAUCUAUUGCCAACUGCGCUUACACCAAAAUCAAGUUUUAGUGGCUAAGUAUCAAGACAUAAUUCUCCCGGCUAGCUCCUGAAAUCAUAAACUCGUCCAAUUCAUAGCUAACUCAUUUAGGAAAUCAAAAUAUUAAACUAGCAAAAGUUAGCAAUUGGAUCAAUUGACAACCAAAAUCUCAACAUUAAAGAACAAGGAUCGGCAGGCCAACAUGAUCAUAAGCUUACACAUUUUUUAUUUUUUUAUUUAUUUAUAUUUUUUUUGAGAAUUCUUUUUGUUUUUAUUUCGAUAAAUGCUCAGUCCCAAGCUAUUCAAAUCUUUUGACGCGAACUCUGACAUUUUUAGAUGAAAGAGCCCAGUUACUCAACUUUUCACAGCUUCAGGACUAACUACUCAUAGAUAUCGCCACUUUUUGACGCGAAAGUCGACACUUAUGGUGAAAACUCCGGUUACUAGGUGACGAUACUAGCGGAAUAGAGUCAUUUAUUAAUCACAAUUAAAGCACCAGAAUAUCAGAUAAUUAAAGAUCAUAGCCUACGUCAUCUCCUAACAUGGAGAACUAAGAUCAACAAUCGCCCAAUCCACACAACAAUUGCUAGUAAAAUAUUUAUAUUGCCUAAACAAGUUGACCACAAUUUGCACCAAGUCAUUAAACUCAUGAUAUUCACCAAGAUAACAUGCUUUUACUUGCCACUUAAACUAAAUUCAUAGAAUAAAUCAUAACCAGCAAUAGACGAGUGAGAUGCCACAUUUAUUCAUCAAGACAAUAGUAAGAUAAGCAACAAUUUAAAGAAACUCCCGUCAAAUCCAAAUCUCCCCCCACACUUAAAGCACACAUUGCCCUCAAUGUGACAAUUAAACAGUAAAAGUAAGAAGAAGGGCAACGAAACUCCCCUGAAGUUGUCAAAACAGCGGCGGGUUAGGCGGAAGUUGAGGUUCAAAACCCACGUGGUGCAUAAACGCCGCUAAAUUCUGUGCCAUGCUAUGCACAUUAACAUCAAUAUUUGUUACCUGAGCCUCCAGUUUUUGAACUCGCAUCUGGAGUUGGUGCCAGUCAUCAGCCCUUGGGGUUGGAGGAGGUGGAGCGGAGGUCGAAGGGCCGGGGUGUUCUAGACUUAGAAGAAGAUUUGGGUUUCACCAUUUCUCCAAAUGUCACUCAAAUCAACAACAGACAACAAUUCUCAACAAAAUUUAGAACCAACAAAUUCAAAGCAAUAACAAUUGUAAUAAUCACUGUGGCCUCUCUAUUAGUCAAUUUGAGACCCAAUUAAUGCCCGAAAACAAUCCCAAACAAUGCAACAAUUAAAUUUAACGGGCAAAGGACAUCCAACUAAUUUCACUCGAACAAACUAUGAGCAGUGUUAAUGUCUAAAUGAAUCAUCAAAUUUCAGCAAUUAGACACAAUACCACUCAAAAUCUCAAUAACUGUCUCCAAUUGGACAGUUAAUUACACACUCAACCAACCCCAAUAACCAUUCAAAUCAACAAACAAAUGCAGGAAGGAGCUACCCACAAAUAAGAAACAACUCAAAUGACCAACCCAAAGCGCUGAUAAAUCAAAACACACCAAUCAAGACCACAAAAUAACAGAAAUUAAAAUGGGACCCAAGUAACAAGUAACUCUCAAAUCAACCCCAACAAUUCUCAAACAAAUGAACUGGCACAAGAGACGUCAAAUUUAAUCCCCACAGAUGAAAUAAAAACCUCAAGUAGUCCAAACACUAUUCAGAAGACCCAAAAUUAACCCCAGAAAAUCCCCAAGUCACCUCCUGCCUUUAUCAAUCAGAAGACCCAAGAGAAAAAAAAUGCAAAUUCAGCAAUUUAAGAUCCUGGACAGUACUAAUCGAUGGAGAAAUAGCAAUACCUUCACCUGUCAAAAAUUGGCAGGUAGUGUUUGCUGGCUAUCUGUGUAGGUGGAGUGUGGUAGUCGCGCAAGGAGAGGGAGAAGAGACGGUGCAGCAGCGACAAGAGGUGGUGAAGCUUGCGCGAGGGAGGCGGCAGCUUCAGUUGCGGUUGGUGUGGUGCGCGCAGGUGGAGGCGCUCUAGCUAGCGCGAGCUAGCUCAAGCUGGCGGACGGUGGAGCUGAGCUGGUUGUGGGUAGUGACGGCGGCAGUAGGUGAGGCGAGCUAGGUGGGGAGGAGCGAGACCGAGGGUGGAGGUGCAGUGGCUGCGCGAGCUCACAGUCGUGGGCAAGAGCUUGUAUUUGCGAGCUAGUGGCUCGCGAUGGAGGAAGCAGCAGGCAGCGGCGGCUGCAUGCAGAGGUGGAUGCGUUGGUCUCCGGCUGUGCAGUGGUCAAAGGUUGAGCUUACGAUGGUGGUGGGAGCGAGGCGGAGAGAGACGGCAGCUCGCGGUUGGUCGAGAGAGAGAGACGGCCAGGAGAGAGGUAGAUAGCAAGCAGGAGCGGCGUGGGCUGCUGGUAGCGCGGGAGCUCAGGAUGAGCUGCGGCGAGCUGGGGUGGGCGGCGAUGGCAGUCGGGAGAGGAGCUUGUGACUCGCGCAGGUGGAUAUCGCGCAAGGAGGAGAGAGCAAGGCGGAGUGUGCUAGGAAGAAGAAGAAGCGGGCAGCGGGGAAGAAGAAAGGAAAGAAAGAAAAG
rnacentral:lncRNA from 1 species